GCUUAUGCGUUGUUGGGUAGGGGAGCGUUCUGUAAGCCUGCGAAGGUGUGCUGUGAGGCAUGCUGGAGGUAUCAGAAGUGCGAAUGCUGACAUAAGUAACGAUAAAGCGGGUGAAAAGCCCGCUCGCCGGAAGACCAAGGGUUCCUGUCCAACGUUAAUCGGGGCAGGGUGAGUCGACCCCUAAGGCGAGGCCGAAAGGCGUAGUCGAUGGGAAACAGGUUAAUAUUCCUGUACUUGGUGUUACUGCGAAGGGGGGACGGAGAAGGCUAUGUUGGCCGGGCGACGGUUGUCCCGGUUUAAGCGUGUAGGCUGGUUUUCCAGGCAAAUCCGGAAAAUCAAGGCUGAGGCGUGAUGACGAGGCACUACGGUGCUGAAGCAACAAAUGCCCUGCUUCCAGGAAAAGCCUCUAAGCAUCAGGUAACAUCAAAUCGUACCCCAAACCGACACAGGUGGUCAGGUAGAGAAUACCAAGGCGCUUGAGAGAACUCGGGUGAAGGAACUAGGCAAAAUGGUGCCGUAACUUCGGGAGAAGGCACGCUGAUAUGUAGGUGAAGUCCCUUGCGGAUGGAGCUGAAAUCAGUCGAAGAUACCAGCUGGCUGCAACUGUUUAUUAAAAACACAGCACUGUGCAAACACGAAAGUGGACGUAUACGGUGUGACGCCUGCCCGGUGCCGGAAGGUUAAUUGAUGGGGUCAGCGCAAGCGAAGCUCUUGAUCGAAGCCCCGGUAAACGGCGGCCGUAACUAUAACGGUCCUAAGGUAGCGAAAUUCCUUGUCGGGUAAGUUCCGACCUGCACGAAUGGCGUAAUGAUGGCCAGGCUGUCUCCACCCGAGACUCAGUGAAAUUGAACUCGCUGUGAAGAUGCAGUGUACCCGCGGCAAGACGGAAAGACCCCGUGAACCUUUACUAUAGCUUGACACUGAACAUUGAGCCUUGAUGUGUAGGAUAGGUGGGAGGCUUUGAAGUGUGGACGCCAGUCUGCAUGGAGCCGGCCUUGAAAUACCACCCUUUAAUGUUUGAUGUUCUAACGUGGACCCGUGAUCCGGGUUGCGGACAGUGUCUGGUGGGUAGUUUGACUGGGGCGGUCUCCUCCUAAAGAGUAACGGAGGAGCACGAAGGUUGGCUAAUCCUGGUCGGACAUCAGGAGGUUAGUGCAAUGGCAUAAGCCAGCUUGACUGCGAGCGUGACGGCGCGAGCAGGUGCGAAAGCAGGUCAUAGUGAUCCGGUGGUUCUGAAUGGAAGGGCCAUCGCUCAACGGAUAAAAGGUACUCCGGGGAUAACAGGCUGAUACCGCCCAAGAGUUCAUAUCGACGGCGGUGUUUGGCACCUCGAUGUCGGCUCAUCACAUCCUGGGGCUGAAGUAGGUCCCAAGGGUAUGGCUGUUCGCCAUUUAAAGUGGUACGCGAGCUGGGUUUAGAACGUCGUGAGACAGUUCGGUCCCUAUCUGCCGUGGGCGCUGGAGAACUGAGGGGGGCUGCUCCUAGUACGAGAGGACCGGAGUGGACGCAUCACUGGUGUUCGGGUUGUCAUGCCAAUGGCACUGCCCGGUAGCUAAAUGCGGAAGAGAUAAGUGCUGAAAGCAUCUAAGCACGAAACUUGCCCCGAGAUGAGUUCUCCCUGACCCUUUAAGGGUCCUGAAGGAACGUUGAAGACGACGACGUUGAUAGGCCGGGUGUGUAAGCGCAGCGAUGCGUUGAGCUAACCGGUACUAAUGAACCGUGAGG
rnacentral:rRNA from 1 species